CUUCCCUCCGGCGCCGGAGCCGCUGGCGGUGCCCCCCGUGCCGGAGCCGUUGGCUUUGGCGUUGGCGGCGCGCUCCUGCUUGCGGAACUUGGCGCGCCGGUUCUGAAACCAAACCUGGUCGAUCUUCAGAGCCAGCUCCUCCCGGGUGUAAAUGUCCGGGUAGUGGGUCUCGGCGAAGACCCGCUCCAGUUCCUUCAGCUGGGAGCUAGUGAAGGUGGUCCGGAUGCGCCUCUGCUUGCGUUUCUCGUUCAGGCCCGAAGGGUCCGAGAAGAACUUCGCGUACCUGACGAGUAGGGCGUGGGCUGGUGGUCGCGCAGGGCCCCCAGCGUGCAGCUGGCCGAGCUGAGCGGGGCGCAGGCCGGGUUGGAGAAGGGCCCGCUGCGGAUCGGGUUGUACUGGAAGGAGCCGGCCUGGCUGCACGAGCUGAAGUCCGCGUAGGCCGAAGCUUCCAUGGCGGCCAUGCACGAGUCGUAGGAGUUGAGGCAAAGUGAAGCUGUCAGUCAUGCCGCCAGCAGCGCCGUCCAUCCAUCCAUCACGGAAGCACAAAGAACCAACACGCGGUGACGGAACAACACGAGCCGACAACAAGGUUGCAAGAUGUCGCCCCGCCUGCACGCGCCUGAUGGAUGGCCUACUUUUCAAGCCAACGUUAUUCUCCCGCACCCCCUUUUUGGGCGUGUCACGUGACCGCCCAGACCCGCAAAGCUGACGUCCUCGGCAAGGCAAAACCGAGACCUUUUGACUCCCGCCAGCGCAACUUCGGACGAGAAUCAAGUCAAAGCUGAAACGGAAGAAAUGAGCGGCGGCGUGUUUAUCAAUCGCCUUUUUGUGUCUUUUUUUUUUUUUGCGGGCUGCAAAUUCUGCGUUAAGAGCGAAGACACGAAUGAUAAGGUGGAGGGAUCGAGGCCAUCGUUCAUCCGCCGCCUUCGCACGCGUUGACCCUCCGCUGUAAUUAAUAAAACAAAAUUCAAUAAUGAAGAUUUGCCUCUGAGCAUUGUUCUAAUUUUUUUUCCUGGUUUUAGUUCAUUUUAGCACCUUGUUUCCAUUUCGGUGUCUACUAUCCACAGUGUGACACAGUGCGUAAAGGGCGAGAGCUCGUCACGCUUGAGUCGCUUCCGCCCAACAACCCAAAACACAAAGAUUGACUUCUCCUCCUCCAUCUUGUCCCCCCCCCC